rnacentral:lncRNA from 1 species
GAUCCUCCUGCCUUGGCCUCUCAAAGCACUAGGAUUUCAGCAUGGAGUGCCAUAUUUGUGGGCAUCAGGAGGGUCCAGAUGGCAACUUUACCAGACACUGGAGAUAAACUGAUUUGUUUAAAAGCAGGAGCUUGCAUCCAGGAAAAGUGGUCUGCUUCAGGCUGCAGGUUGGCCGAACUUAGCUACCUGUUGAAGUUUAGGUCUGCAUCAUAUUUCUCCACAUUUAUCUCGGACCAGCAGAUAUUUAGGCUAUUGGCAGAAGCAUACCCGGGCAAACCAAACCAUGGGAGUACUUUCUAACCCCCUGUUCACAUUAUGUUCAAUAACAUCCUACUGGCCUAAGUAAGAACGAUGGUCACUUAGCCAGGUGUCGUGGUGUGCGCCUGUAGUCCCAGCUACUCAGGAGGCUGAGGCA